rnacentral:rRNA from 1 species
UACGUAGGCAGCGAGCGUUGUUCGGAAUCACUGGGCGUAAAGGGUGCGUAGGCGGGUCUUUUAAGUCAGGGGUGAAAUCCUGGAGCUCAACUCCAGAACUGCCUUUGAUACUGAAGAUCUUGAGUUCGGGAGAGGUGAGUGGAACUGCGAGUGUAGAGGUGAAAUUCGUAGAUAUUCGCAAGAACACCAGUGGCGAAGGCGGCUCACUGGCCCGAUACUGACGCUGAGGCACGAAAGCGUGGGGAGCAAACAGG